rnacentral:rRNA from 1 species
UACGAAGGGGGGCUAGCGUUGUUCGGAAUUACUGGGCGUAAAGCGCGCGCAGGCGGUCUUCCAAGUCAGUGGUGAAAGCCCGGAGCUCAACUCCGGAACUGCCAUUGAAACUGUGAGACUGGAGUACGAGAGAGGUGAGUGGAAUUCCCAGUGUAGAGGUGAAAUUCGUAGAUAUUGGGAAGAACACCGGGUGGCGAAGGCGGCUCACUGGCUCGUAACUGACGCUCAGGCGCGACAGCGUGGGGAUCGAAACAGG